GGAGCGGUAGUUCAGUUGGUUAGAAUACCGGCCUGUCACGCCGGCGGCAUAGCAGUCCCGUCCGCUUCG
rnacentral:tRNA from 2 species